GAAACUGAAGUAUAAAGAAGCAGACAAGUUCAUUUGUGGAAAUAUGCUAAAAAAAUGAGAAUUGUAACUGAAGUAUAUAGAGGCGGAGAAGUUCUUCUUUUUCUAUUCUAGUUUGUUUUGGUUGUUCCUCGUUUUUAGUUCGAGAUCCUUCCAUGGAUUCAAACAUAUGAGAAGUUGAAUCUGCAUUUUAUAAACGUCG
rnacentral:lncRNA from 1 species